rnacentral:rRNA from 1 species
UUGGGUUGUAAAGCUCUUUCGUCGGGGAAGAAAAUGACUGUACCCGAAUAAGAAGGUCCGGCUAACUUCGUGCCAGCAGCCGCGGUAAUACGAAGGGACCUAGCGUAGUUCGGAAUUACUGGGCUUAAAGAGUUCGUAGGUGGUUGAAAAAGUUGGUGGUGAAAUCCCAGAGCUUAACUCUGGAACUGCCAUCAAAACUUUUCAGCUAGAGUAUGAUAGAGGAAAGCAGAAUUUCUAGUGUAGAGGUGAAAUUCGUAGAUAUUAGAAAGAAUACCAAUUGCGAAGGCAGCUUUCUGGAUCAUUACUGACACUGAGGAACGAAAGCAUGGGUAGCGAAGAGGAUUAGAUACCCUCGUAGUCCAUGCCGUAAACGAUGUGUGUUAGACGUUGGAAAUUUAUUUUCAGUGUCGCAGCGAAAGCGAUAAACACACCGCCUGGGGAGUACGACCGCAAGGUUAAAACUCAAAUGAAUUGACGGGGACCCGCACAAGUAGUGGAGCAUGUGGUUUAAUUCGAAGAUACGCGCAGAACCUUACCAACACUUGACAUGUUCGUCGCGACUUUAAGAGAUUAAAGUUUUCGGUUCGGCCGGACGAAACACAGGUGCUGCAUGGCUGUCGUCAGCUCGUGUCGUGAGAUGUUGGGUUAAGUCCCGCAACGAGCGCAACCCUCACUUUUAGUUGCCAUCAUUUAGUUGGGCACUCUGAAAGAACUGCCAGUGAUAAGCUGGAGGAAGGUGGGGAUGACGUCAAGUCCUCAUGGCCCUUACGUGUUGGGCUACACACGUGCUACAAUGGUAUCUACAACAGGAAGCAAAACCGCGAGGUUAAGCAAAUCCUUAAAAGAUACCUCAGUUCGG